UCCCUGCGCUUUGUACACACCGCCCGUCGCAACCACCGAUGGAUUUUUUAGUGAGGUCUUCGGACUGGCGCUCGAUUUUGACCUUCGGGUUGAGGCGAUGUGCCGGAAAGAUGACCGAACUUGAGCAUCUAGAGGAUGUUAAAGUCGUAACAAGGCUGCU
rnacentral:rRNA from 1 species